GUAUUUUAUUUAGGGUGGCUCCUUCCAUUCAUGCUUGGAGCUGCUAUGGUUCCCUCAGACUUAAGCCAGAUAUUUUACUUCCCAUUCUAACAAUUCACCUUUCUGAUUCCCCCCUCAUUUAUUUACUGUCAGCGUGAGCAGAAUGUAAUGAUCUUAAUGGUAACAAAAAGCUGUUUAGGCUGGGAAGGGCUUUCCUGCUGGGAAAAAUUUUGGAAGAUAAGAUCUUGAUUUGAACUUGAGAAUGUUUCAGCCUUCCUGUAAACAAGUUCGGGUUCUUAGAAGCCACCAAUUUCUAAGUAGUGGUUGGGGUUACUUGCCAGUGGGAGCAUACCCCUGUGAGUGACUGUCACAGCUAAGGGACUUCAGAGGGCUGCGGUAAGAACCUAUUUCUUGAAGUAGAAAGAACAAGACGAGCCUAAGGAGAAAGCAGAGAACAUCAGGCCCCUCAGAGCCAGGGUGUGGGGAAGAGGAAAAUACUUCACUGGAAGUUCACUGGCAGCCUGCUUUCUGAUAGCAUAUAGCCUUGAACUCACUGAUCUGUGCGUGGCGGUGGGUACUAAUGUUGCUCUGGGCUGUGUGAAGGCUUAUCUAUUACUAACUCCCAUUCUGACCUAAGUAAGAAAUUGGAGAACUGUUUAUGAAGUUGGGCAAUUGAAAACUCUCAGAAGCUCACAUUUCUAAUGCAUUAAACAAACAAACAAACAAACAAACAAAAUCUCUGCCAAUUUUAGGGGGAAACGUUCCCCUAAGGUUUCAUUUGGUCCUGCCACAACAGCCCAGAGCUGGGCAGUUGGAAGCCAUAAGUGGUCCUUGUGUGUGUGUGUGUGUGUGUGUGUGUGUGCGCGCGUGCAUGCGCGAGUGCAUGUGCAUAUAUGUUUUAAACAUUCUCAUGUAGUCUUGGCUGACUUCAAAAUUCAGUAUGUAAUGGAGGAGGGCUUUGAACUCUGGGUACAUCUCUACAGACUGGGGUUACAGGCAUGUGUCACUGUGUCCAGCUUCUCCAGACUCUCUCAUCUCUGCACCCAAAUGUAUAUUGACAAGUUGGAAAGAUUUGUUUUUUGUUUUGAGCAGAAAGUUUGGCUUGUUUAUGUUUGCAGUGUUGGAAUGAAGCCCAGGGCCUUAAGCAUGCUGGACAAGCACACUACCGGUGGACUUGGGAGACUGGGGUGAGCAGAAAUCAGGGACAGCUGGCUAGGCAGGCUGUACACGCCUGUGAUCCCAGCACCGGAGAGGAAGAGGCAGGAGGAUCAGGAGGUGAAGGUCACAUAGUCACAAGUAGCAAGCUGGAGGCAAACGACUCUGUCUUGUGAAAG
rnacentral:lncRNA from 1 species